UAUUCUUGCUUGUUUUUUGAGAUUUUUUUUAGAACAGUGAAAUUACAUUUCAAUUCGGAUUUUGAUACUAAGACAAACCAGUCAAUUCCAUUCAUGAAUGCUGUUAUAUGGGAAAGAGAAUGUAAAUCAGUCUGUAAGUGACACACGUAACUCUCCAUGACUCCAUCUCUGAUGAAGAAAUACAAAACCAUCUAACUUACCUGCAAAUCAUUCGAAUGCACGCUUUGUAUUUACUAUGAUAUUGUAUUUGCUUGAACGCUCUUUAAUUACCUCUCCUAUGAUGCAUGUAUUACCACAGUAGAACCCCUACCAACAAAAUAAAAAAGGUAAAAUCAGUUACUAAAAAGAUUCUACAAUAGCUAUGAAAUUGUAGUAUGGAAAUCUUGUAAAGCAAUUACUAUAUGAGAAAGAGAAUGUAAAUAAAAAAACACUAAGCUAUGAAGAUGUCUAUCUCAUGACGUAGAACUCAAGGAAGUGAACAAAAACUACUUGGAGGACAGAGUAAAUCACUCCACAACCAGCUAAACAGAGUAAGAAAUGAGAUUUGGCAGCAGUUGAGAAUUGGAUGAUUUUGUAAUGAGUCAAAUGAUGACUUUCAA
rnacentral:lncRNA from 1 species